rnacentral:rRNA from 1 species
AUCUACGGCCAUGCCACCCUGAACAAGCCCGAUGUCUGAUCUCAGAAGCUAAGCAGGGUCGCACCUGGUUAGUACUUGGAUGGGAGACAACCCAGGAAGACCAGGUGCUGUAGGCA